GACGAACGCUGGCGGCGUGCUUAACACAUGCAAGUCGGACGAUGAAGCUGGAGCUUGCUCUGGCGGAUUAGUGGCGAACGGGUGAGUAACACGUGAGAAAUCUGCCCUUGACUCUGGGAUAACUGCGGGAAACUGUAGCUAAUACCGGAUACUUUCCCUGGUGGGCAUCCACUGGGGAAGAAAGAAUUUCGGUCAAGGAUGAUCUCGCGGCCUAUCAGCUUGUUGGUGAGGUAAUGGCUCACCAAGGCGACGACGGGUAGCCGGCCUGAGAGGGUGACCGGCCACACUGGGACUGAGACACGGCCCAGACUCCUACGGGAGGCAGCAGUGGGGAAUAUUGCACAAUAGGCGCAAGCCUGAUGCAGCAACGCCGCGUGAGGGAUGAAGGCCUUCGGGUGUAAACCUCUUUUAGCAGGGAAGAAGCGAAAGUGACGGUACCUGCAGAAAAAGCACCGGCUAACUACGUGCCAGCAGCCGCCGUAA
rnacentral:rRNA from 1 species